CAAAUUAACUUAUAAGAUAAGAAUUUCAUUUACACUGAAAUUAAUGUCGUGCAAUUCGAUAUAAUUUGA
rnacentral:tRNA from 1 species